rnacentral:lncRNA from 1 species
UCUGCUGUCCCAGGCCUGGAGGCAGAAGAGCAGUGCCAGCCCUGCCCAGCAGGACGGUAUUGCAGUGGGGCAGGAUUGUUUGAUCUGGCUCAGACGUCGCUGUGUAAUGCAGGGUACGUUUGCCUGGAAGGAAGCUCUGCUCCCUGCCCUUUGGAUGGGGUUCAUGGAUACAGAUGUCCCAGUGGCUUCUACUGUCCUGCUGGCACCGGGGUAGAGCUGCCCUGUGAGCCUGGCUCGUUCAGCCCUAUGCCUGGGGCGAGUGUCUGCCUCCCCUGCCCAGCUGGGAUGGCCUGCAGCACUGCUGCCACCGUGGAGCCACUCAGCUGCCCCAGAGGUUACUAUUGUCCAGCAGGGACUGCUGCUCCCCUGCCCUGCCCCGAGGGGACACUGAAUGCCUUGGAGGGGGCCCUGGCCCUCGCUGCCUGUAAGCUGUGUCCUGUGGGGAGGUACUGCAGAGGAGAUGCUAACUGGGAACCUGACGGUCUGUGUUCAGCUGGGUACUACUGUGAGGGGGGAGCCACGGAUGCUGUUCCACACGGGACUCCUGGGUUCCCCCUCAGCGGUCCCUGCCCACCUGGGCACUAUUGUCCAGAGGGAACUCCCUUCCCAGUUGCCUGCCCGGUCGGGACCUUGAACAACAGCACAGGUGAGCGUGACUUCACCCCCAGGUUUCUCCUGUAGUCCACAGUGGUGGGGGACUUGGUUACAGGCAGCUGUGGUGCAGGGAUGCCCCUUGGUCACUGCAGGUUAUUGAUACGCUCAGCCAAGCCUGAUAACGGCGAUGUGUUAUCCAUACAAGUAAUGCUUAUGAAACUGAUUGUCCUGGAGAUGCUUCCAUGUCUGCUGCCACUGAUCUGGAGUUCUUCUUUCUUCCUCAGGUGGUAGCUCUCCAGAGAGCUGUGUGCCGUGCUAUCCUGGGUCUUUCUGUGCUAGCCUUGGUUUAAGUUCUCCGACAGGACCCUGUACUGAGGGGUUUUACUGCCCAGCAAACUUCAGCUCGUUCAGCCCCACAGCAUUCCUUUGCCCUAAGGUACUGCUGAGUGAUGUCUGGGCAGUGAAAGAGGUGCGCCUCAGCUCUGGGCAGGAGGCAUUUGUCUUCCACUGGUGGCAGACUCUCAUACGUGCCUGAUUGAAAUGUUGAUUGCAUUCCCAGGGAGUAUUACCCCAGGCUUUGGUAAUGCUGGGAUUCACCCUUACACAGCCCCUAAGUUUGCCACCAUCUCUUCCUUCUCUGUUAUUUCCAGGGUCACUUCUGCCAGUCAGGGGCAGCCCAGCCAGCACCGUGCCCUCCUGGGGAAUACCAGCCAGCCAGCGGCUCUGCGUCCUGCAUUCCGUGCCAGAGAGGAUUCUACUGCCAGGACCUGGUGGCAGGAGACCCCAGGCGCUGCCCACCUCAUUCUUACUGCCCCCCAGGUACACUGAAGCUGGCACGCUGGUUAUGCUGAGGACUCAAACCGUUGAGUCCCCAGAGUUGUACAGGCCCCGUGUGUGUUUUCCUGUAGCAUAGGGGAUGGGGAAGUGACAAUCAACAAAUCUGACGUAGUGCCAUCUGCCUUCCUGGGCAUCAUUUGUUACUCAUUGAUGCGGUUCCAGAGUCAUGUCAGAUCACAGAGGUCUUUCCAAUUACUUUUUUUUUUUCUGUGUUCUCCCUUUCAGGCACACGGUUUCCUCAGACCUGUCCUGAAGGCACCUUUACUCCUCCAAACAUGACUGGCCUCUGGAAUGAGAAGGAAUGCCUGCCUUGCUUACCUGGCCACUACUGCAGGUAGUGACUGUUCAUCUCAAUCUGGUGUUUUUGCACUUUGUCUUAAGCACUUAGGCAUCCUUGUUUUUUGCUGAUAAGUCAAUGCUAAGUUCCUCCCAGCUUCUCUAUCUUCUCUCUCUCAAAGAAUUAAUUAUAAGCCCAGACACAGCUUUUGGGUACAGAGGUGUUGGAUCUGUGAAUUUGGAGAGAGAUCUUGAAGCAGUCUGGCAUUGCCAUGAUGUAAUAAAGGUAAAGGAGCAUCUGAAAGAGAG